rnacentral:rRNA from 1 species
GAUGAACGCUGGCGGCGUGCCUAAUACAUGCAAGUCGAGCGGCAGCGGGCUCACAGUGCUUUGGUUCAAUACAGAACGAAGGUAAUGUGAGCGCCGGCGAGCGGCGGACGGCUGAGUAACGCGUGGGAACAUGCCCCAAAGUGAGGGAUAACUGCUCGAAAGGGUAGCUAAUACCGCAUAUGCUCUUCGGAGUAAAGCUUUAUGCGCUUUGGGAGUGGCCUGCGUACGAUUAGAUAGUUGGUGAGGUAAAGGCUCACCAAGUCGACGAUCGUUAACUGGUUUGAGAGGAUGAUCAGUCAGACUGGAACUGAGACACGGUCCAGACUCCUACGGGAGGCAGCAGUAAGGAAUCUUCCACAAUGGGCGAAAGCCUGAUGGAGCAACGCCGCGUGCAGGAUGAAGGCCCUCGGGUCGUAAACUGCUUUUAUUAGUGAAGAAUAUGACGGUAACUAAUGAAUAAGGAUCGGCUAACUACGUGCC